GCUCUCUCUCUCUCCCUCAGCAGAUCUUCAACCGCGCCCAAAUCUCCAGAUGUCGCGCUUCCUCUCCCUCGAAGCCACACACAGCAACUUUCAAACCCCGGUGCUUCCGAAAAAUCCAUCGGGUAUUGGUAUUAAGGAAAGGUAUCACCUUGUGCUGAGACAGAAGCUUUCAGGGUUCUUUGUGAAUUUUUUUAGAGCUUUUGAUUUCUAUCUGGGGCCUGGAGUUUGGAGAGCUUGAUAGGUGAAGAUGCUAACAUAUGGAGAAUCCAUAAUUCACUUGAAGAGGGGCUUUUCCAUCGGAUCGAAAUGCACAGAUUGAAAGCAUUUUGACAGAGCAUUGCAGAUCGAUGAACUCUUACAUGUGAUAUGGACGGAUCUCUAGCCUUUUCAUGGAUCACGAACAUGGAACUUUGAGCUCCAUCAUAUAUGGUCGGUUCAUGCUUCCUAAAUCUGGGUUUUGUUGAAAUGAGGGCCUGAAGAUCUGUAUAUCUCAAGACUGAGAGAUCAAAGAUGAUAUGUCUAAAGGAGGAGAAAAAACCUGAAGAGAGGAAAGCUCAUCCUCAACUCGCUCGACUCCAAAUUGAACGGUCUCUUGGUUGAAGCCUCUUCCGAAGAAAAUCCGGCCAGUCCACGGUUCAUUUUUUUUCACCAGAGACCUUCACACUCAAUUGUGCUUUUACGAUGAGACUAUUGUUCAAAUGAUCGAAAAGAAAGGGAGAUUGUGAAAGAUGAAUUCUAGCAAGGAAGUGGCUUACUGAUUUGGCUUAUGAUGGCUAAGAAUGAAGAAGAAGAAUUCAACACUAGACCACUAUCUGUUCUGAUGAUGAGUAUUAAAAAUGAUACUCAUGUAUGUUUUUUUAACAUUAGAUAGUAACAUGGAUUCUGAGGCAGCCCCUAGAAGGCAUUUUAUGUCUGAGGUUUUAACCAGACACUUUAACUUCAGUAGCAAGAAGCUUCUGGGUCGUGGCAUGGCUUUUCAUAGGCACCGCAACAUGGUUCAGGAUAAAAAAUUUAAAAAUAGUUUAUUCGAUGAAAACUAAAUAGUGAAGAAGCAAGAAUCAAAUAAUCAUCCAGCCAACUGCUGAACCUGAAAGUACAAUUUUUCGAAAUCAGAUUGGAAAUGUCCUUUGCAGUAUGCAGCUACUAUCCCAUUCUGAUAAAUGGCCUGUUUAACAAAUUGCUGCAAUUUCCUUGGCCACUUGGUUGAGAAGAGUAAGAAAGCCUUCCAAAAUCAUAUUCUAUAAUUCUUUGAAGAAUGAUAAAGACAUCGGUUCUUAUCUUAAUAUGGUUCUAAAAGAUUGCAAACACUUUGCUCAAUCCCUUCAUUGGUGUCAAUUAGUGCAUGUCAAGAGACAAUGCAAUACCACUGUUGUCUAAAAUUAAUUUUCAAUUUGUAGAUAAAGUUUGGUUAGAAGGACCCUAUGGCGGAUGAUAUUCUUUUGAAUGAUGUACCUUUUAAUUUUGUUCAUGAUUGAAUAAAAUGUUAAAGCACAGAAAAGAAAAAGCGCUACGCUGUGCCAGCUUGGAUUUAAAUAAUGACUUGAACACCUCAAACUUUAUUUUCAAUGUUCAUGUUUAAUUACACCAUCAGAUCUUAGCAAUAAU